rnacentral:lncRNA from 1 species
GGCAACACAUUUUAUAUGAAAUAUUAAAGUUUUAUUAAAAAAAAGGAAAUUUCCACGUUCAACAUUUAUUAAAAUUGGAUAUAAAAUAUGACGAAAAAUGAACCAUCAAGUAGGUUCUACCACUUUUAUCACCCGGUGCAACGCACGGGCAUUUGUACUAGUCUCUACCUACUAAUAAAGCACCGAGUGCUUCUGGUCGUACGUCGUCGCCGUUUUUGCAGAAAACCCCCUACUAUUUUAGUUAUUCAACCCAAAGUACUGUUUUAAGUGGGUAUCUAAAAAAAUGCUUCAUAUUCGUAAAAACACCCCUGCGUUAGUUACAAUUCUACCCCCGAUCCUUUAUUAAACUUCACCACCGGGAACCACCGCCGCUAUCCAUUUGCGUUCCCAUCGCCGGGGCCGCAGCUUGCCGCCGGUGUCCACGCCGUAGGAGCCAAGGAAGGGGCGCCCUGCUGGUUUGCCGGCGCUGGAGAGGCUCGUGGCAGGGGGAGCUCCUCACCUCUGCUUCGGGCACGAGGCGGCUGAAGUGCUGCCGGCGCUGGAGAGGCUCGUGGCAGGGAGCUCCUCUCCUCUGCUUCGGGCACGAGGCGGUUGAAGCGCUCGAAUAGCAGAGCAGCGGGGCGAGGGCGAUGGGUGGCACGGGCGCUGGACGGGACUUUAUGCAGGUCUUCUGCGAGAUGGGGAUGAUGUGGAGGGGGUCUGGACACCGGCGGGUCGCGAGGCGACCGAAGCACUCGUGGUGUAGAGCUGCGGGGCGGGGGCCGAAGGGUGGCGCGGGCGCUGGAUGGGAGACUUGAUGCAGGUCUUCGGCGAGAUGGGGAUGGCGUGGAGGGGUCUGGACGCCGGCGGCGCUCGGGCUUCAGGCGGCCAUGGUCCUCUCUAUCUGCUGAAAAAUAGAAGACAGAGAGAGAUCUUAGAGAAAAGAAGCGCGGGAGAGAGAAGAGAGAUGGAGGAGGGGGAGGGCUCACCGACGGCGCGACUUUGCCGGAGACGCUCGACAACGCGGUGGGCCGUGGGCGUUGACAUGUUGCUCAGGGGCUGCGGGCCGUGGGCGGCGCCUGCUCGCGCGCGAGACCGACCCGUGUCUGAUUUGGAGGUGAAGGGGGGUGCAGCGACGGCGGUGCUCGAGGCUCGAGCUGCGACGGCGGCCUCGAGCGGGAGGAGUGACGGAGCCAAUCUGAUCUGAAAAACCAGAAAAAGGGGCCGAUAGUGGCUGUCGAAGCUGGAGCGCUGGCGGCCGCCGGUGGAGCGCGGAAUCCGCUGGCGUGCGGAGGUGGUGCGGGUGUGCGGGAGAUGCGUGGAGGAGAGAAUCCCGGCGGCAGCAGCGGCGUGUCCUAGGGGGAGUUGGGUUGUUCUGUAACGAGAGAAUGAGGAGAUAAGGUUGCGACGACAGACUCUAUAGGACACCUGGAGUCUGGUUUCUUCUAGGCAAGCCGAUGUGUGACAGCUAGCUAGCGCAUGUUCUUAUUUAUUUUUUUGCGAGGGAGCUAGCUAGCGCAGGUUGACGAUUAAAGUCUCCGAGUCCAUCAUACCGUGUGUUAGCAUGCAG